UACGUAGGGUGCGAGCGUUAAUCGGAAUUACUGGGCGUAAAGCGUGCGCAGGCGGUCUGUUAAGACCGAUGUGAAAUCCCCGGGCUUAACCCUGGGAACUGCAUUGGUGACUGGCAGGCUUUGAGUGUGGCAGAGGGAGGUAGAAUUCCACGUGUAGCAGUGAAAUGCGUAGAGAUGUGGAGGAAUACCGAUGGCGAAGGCAGCCUCCUGGGCCAACACUGACGCUCAUGCACGAAAGCGUGGGGAGC
rnacentral:rRNA from 1 species